AAUGAACGUUGGCGGCGUGGAUUAGGCAUGCAAGUCGAGCGGAAAGGCCCGCAAGGGCACUCGAGCGGCGUAAGGGACAGUAAUGUGUAGGUACGUACCCCUGGGUCUAGGAUAGCUGCGGGAAACUGCAAUUAAUACUAGAUGACGUCUCCGGACCAAAGGUGUGAUUCCACCCAGGGAGCGGCCUACAUCCUAUUAGCUAGUUGGUGAGGUGACGGCUCACCAAGGCGAAGAUGGGUAGCAGGUGUGAGAGCACGACCUGCGUCACUGGGACUGAGACACUGCCCAGACACCUACGGGUGGCUGCAGUCGAGAAUCUUCGGCAAUGGGCGAAAGCCUGACCGAGCGACGCCGCGUGCGGGAUGAAGGCC
rnacentral:rRNA from 1 species